rnacentral:rRNA from 1 species
ACUCCUACGGGAGGCAGCAGUGGGGAAUAUUGGACAAUGGGCGAAAGCCUGAUCCAGCCAUGCCGCGUGUGUGAAGAAGGUCUUCGGAUUGUAAAGCACUUUAAGUUGGGAGGAAGGGCAUUAACCUAAUACGUUAAUGUUUUGACGUUACCGACAGAAUAAGCCCCGGAUUGCUCUGUGCCAGCAGCCGCGGUAAUAC